rnacentral:rRNA from 1 species
GAUGAACGCUGGCGGCGUGCCUAAUACAUGCAAGUCGAGCGAACAGUUGAGGAGCUUGCUCCUCUGACGUUAGCGGCGGACGGGUGAGUAACACGUGGACAACCUACCUAUAAGACUGGGAUAACUUCGGGAAACCGGAGCUAAUACCGGAUAAUAUAUUGCAUCGCAUGGUGCAAUAGUGAAAGACGGUUUUGGUUACAGUUAUAGAUUGAUCCGGGCCGGAUUAGCUAGUUGGUAGGGUAAAGGAUUACCAAGGCAACGAUGGCGAACCGACCUGAGAGGGUAGUCGCCAAGACUGGAACUGAGAAACGGCCAAGACUCUUAGGGUGGGAGGCGGUGGGGAAUCUUCCGCAAUGGCGGAAAGCGUGACGGGGCAACGCGGGGUGAGUGAUGAAGGUGUUCGGAUGGUAAAAUUCUGUUAUUAGGAAGGAACAAAUGUGUAAGUAACUGUGCACGUCUUGACGGUACCUGAUCAGAAAGCCACGGCUAACUACGUG